ensembl:lncRNA
GAGAGAGAGAGAGAGAGAGAGAGGUGGGCUUGGAGGUAGCUUGCCCCCGGCUGUGUCGAUGUCAUUGCUGACGUGAUGAUUGAUGGAUGAGAUGGGGGGGGGGGGCUUCUGACAGAACAGCAGAUAUCUGGAGUCGUCCUGGCAACACUAGCUGGUUCCUGUAGUUUGUGAUUCCAGCUCCUGUCACUGACAUUGCUGUCAGUCACUUUGCAGUGAGUAACCCCAUGCUUGUUUCUUGAGCUGGAUGGAUGGAGAAGUGUAGAUGUGGUUUGGGCUUUUAAGGUUGGCCUUCUGUCUUUAUUCACUACACACGUGGAAUCUGCACUUGCUAUGGAUUUUUAAUUUAACUCUUAUUUACUGGUUUCUUGUUGUCCCUAUAUAUGUUUUUGUUAUAGUGGCAAACAUGCAUUAUCAAAAAUUACUUGUACUAAAUACCAAUACCAACUCUGCUAAAAGUCCACAUAUCCUAAGUACAAUAACGAAUGUUUUGUCAUAUUUUAGAGUAAAUUGAACUCCUGUCCUUUCUGUUAAACUUGCUGUGGAUGCUACCGCUCUACGUGUUUUUCAUUGUGUAUAUUUUGUACGACUUGUGUUGACGAGGUGACUGUCUUGACUCGUGGGGGGGCCCCUUUGGCCCCCCCAGAGCAACGACUACCUCCACCUUGGACACCGAGGCCCUGGAAACCGUGGCAACAGAAUGGGGUAACUGAAGCAUCUGUUAGAGGCGAUGAGGGAGCCGUUCUGGCACGCGGAGGACUCUCCAGCUGAACCCGGGUCUACUGCACAAUGCCCUGCUCUGUUUGGCAGCAUCGUGAAGAACCUUUUCCUUCAACGUUUGAAUCAGGAUGGUGAAGCCUGGACCCGCUUUGCUCUGCUGGGUCUGGUGCUCUGGUCCUGGUCUCCUGGGGGGCCCGGGGUCUCCUGGGGGGCCCGGGGGGCCCCUAGUCUCCUGGGGGCCCCGGGGUCUACUGGUCCAGCCACACUUGGCUCCUCCAUGGUGACCUGCUCCAGUCCACUUGACGUCCAGGACCAUUGAGGCUCUUCUGCUCCAGCAGUACUCUUGUCUCUCGUGCAGCAGACGAGUGUGACCGUGGUACUGGGAGUCGGGCAUUGCUUGUUGAAAUAUGGGACUUAUUUUAGUUUAAUGUCUUGACUUUAAAACGCUCCUCUUUAGGUGCAGUCACUCCUAUGCUCAUGGAAGAACCUUUUUGCUUCAUGCUACUUUUUAGCAACUUGGUCAUUUGUCUUUAGAAAUUGCACUGAUUGAAGCUGGUUUUCUUGUUCUCUGCCUUGCCUGUAGGAUUGUCAUUUUUAACACCAUUCCUGGCUAUUUAAAAGCCCUUAAAGUUUUGUCACUAUCGAAAGCCAAUAUGCUACCAGUUGGUGGUUCAACACUGGGUAGUCAUGCAGAUGCCAGACUGGCCUGGAGGGAUGUAUGUAUUGGUACCUUCACCCCAUUCAGUAGUUUAAAAGAAUGGUGUUAGGUAACACUUAUUUUUUCAGUAAAGGGGUGAUCUAACUAACUACUGUUUUUGACGUUACCAUUACUGUACGUUAAAUGCAGUGCGUUACUAUGUAUGAUUGAAUAAACUGCGUUAUCCGAACGCACCCCUGGCUCCAAAAACAAACUGCUAGUGAGGAGACAGGGUGGGUUAAACAACGAGACAAGCGAUUAUGAUUGGCUAAGGCAGUCAUGUUUCAUGGUAGCCAAUCGGAACCAGUGUUUUUACACAAAAGCCAGGGCACGUAAGCACACACAAUUUAAUUUGCUAUCGAGUUAAGCACACUUUAUAUCGUUUACUUUUAUUACAAAGAUAAGACUUGACGUGCAGGACAAACCACUUGCUGUCUGUUGAUGUGAAAUAAAUAUCGACGGCUAUGUACCUCUCUGUUCUGCUCAUUUCAACUGACUUGUGAAAUAUCUGAAUUCUUUGACAUAGCAAUUUAUUUUAUAAUAAACCAAAUAGGUACUUUCCCUGGUAACUAGUUACUUUUUUUUAUAGAGUAAUUCAGUUACUAACUCGGGUACUUUUUGGAACAAGUAGUGACUGUUUUAAAGUAACGGUCCCAACACUGCCCGCUUGUAGUUAGGGUUAGCAGCUACAAUGGCCUUAUUGAUAAAAACUGCAUUGACCUCGAUAAGCAGCUUAACGUCCUGAAGCUGAGUCUUUCAAUAAUGAAUGUGUCAGUAGGCUACCAUAAUUAAUAUAUUUGACAUUUGAUUAACCACAACCAGCCACCCCAUGUUGCCUAGUCCUAUUGUAGACAUUUUAGUUUGGUUAUCAAAAUGUCUUAAUAAUCCUCUAGCGCCCUUGUUCUCUACGUACUGACUUCAGUUUUUGUAUCCAUCUAGAGAGCAUGAGGACCAACCAUCCGCCUCACUGUGACUCAACACUUGCUUCCUGAAUAAACUCUUUCGAUAAAUGCAUGCUUUGUUUUCAUGCUGGUCUUGAAAGGCAGG